UACUAGGUAUUUGCCCGUUCACAUAUUAGUUCAAAUGCCUACACGCUUUGGUCUAGCUUUCCCGUGGACAAGAAUAUAAGUUUACAGUCAUUAAGGGAGUUCCUUAAACGGUCAUAUUCGCUCACUAAUUAUUCUGCGAAUUCAUUACCAUGGGGAAAACAUCUGUACUGGUGGUAGGAGGAAGUGGGUACUUAGGUUUGCAUUUGCUGCAGUCUCUCUCAACACUUUCAGGAAAUCCCUAUGAUCUGGCCUUCACUUACCAUUCUCAUCCUCCUCCUCAGGCUCUUUUUGAUGCAAUCGGUCCGGUACAAGCAUUCAAAUUGGACUUGCAGUCUGGAGAAGGUUUGGAUAAAAUUUCUGCAACCUUUGGUCAGCCCCAUGUUGUUGUUAACUGUGCAGCCCUUUCUGUACCCCGUGCCUGUGAGUCAAACACUUCUGCAGCAGUGGCUAUUAAUGUUCCAUCUACUCUUAUCAAGUGGAUGUCAUCUUUCAAUGACACAGAAACUCCUCUAUUGAUUCAUCUAUCCACAGAUCAAGUAUACGAAGGAAUAAAGCUUUUCUACAUAGAAGAGGAUGAAACAAAUCCUAUAAAUGUAUAUGGAAAAUCAAAAGUUAUAGCGGAAGAAUAUAUACGAUCAAAUUACUCAAAUUAUGCAAUACUAAGAAGCAGCAUAAUUUAUGGGCCUCAACCAGUUAUUCCUGUUGAGAAGUCUCUCCCAAUACAGUGGAUUGACAGUGUUCUCUCUAGCGACAAGGAGGUUGAGUUCUUCAGUGAUGAAUUCCGGUGCCCAAUUUAUGUGAAGGACAUUAUAAAUGUAAUUGAAUCUCUAAUUAGAAAAUGGGACUCAGGUGACAAGUGCAUCCAGAUCCUGUUAAAUGCAGGGGGACCUGAUAGAGUUUCACGUGCACAAAUGGCAAAGGUAGUGUCAGAUCUGAGAGGAUAUGACAGCUCAAAGAUCAAAUCUGUUUCUGCAGCAUCUGUGAACCGAGGUGUUGCAUCUCCUGCUGACAUAUCGAUGGAUGUUAGCAAAUUGGUUAAAUUGCUUGGUAUCAAUCUGACCACAUUUAAGGAUGGUGUGCAGUUAACUCUAGAGUCUUAACAACACUAGUAAUUUGCAGAUAACUAUAUUCUUGAUCUAGUUUUCUUUUGGAAAGAGAGCAAAGUAAUAUGUGGGUUUUGGAGAGGGCACUGUCUUGUGAAGGUGGCUGACUUGAAGUGGAUUGCAAAUCAGCCCAACAUGUUCUUCUAUGGUGGUGUCUUGCUGAAUAUUACCAUGCUUUACUAGCAAGGCUUUAGAUCUGAUAUUAGUAUUGAUCAAGUUAGACAAAGGCAGGAACUAACAAAUAUGGAAUCGUUUAAUUACUGCUUAAUUUAAAUGUGUCAAUUCAAUUCUUACUAGUUUGAAGUUCAUUGGAUUCUCAAAUUGCAAUAAAACAGACAAUAAGAUCAUUUCAUUUAUUUUCCUAUAUUAAUAAAAAGUGAUUAUUUUUUCCUGUU